GUUCUAGUGGCUCAGUGGUUAAGCUGUUGAGUUAGAGAUCAAAAGGUCAUGUGUUUAAAUCCCAUCACCACCA